CUCCGUGCUUACCGGGGCCUCCCCGGCCAGCCCUCGUGGGAAUAUUGGAACAGACCAGUUGGGGAGGCGGAUGUCAGCACAAGCAGGACCACACAGGGGAGAGGAGCCCUCGGGGGCAGCAACGGUCAGGAGGGGAACAGCCCCUUGAACUGACUCGCAAGGGGCAGGGGUCUGCUGGUGGUCAUGUGGAGAACAACAGAUUCUGGACAUGCUGGCCGCUCACUGUCCUCCAGUGCUGGAGUCCUGGGCUCUGCAGGUCAGGAGCUGACAAAAGCUGGAUCCAAAUCUGGAAGGUGCCUUCAAGGGCGUGACACCUAACUGGCUGCUAUCCCUGCACCUCCCACGACAGCCUCAUGCUCCGCCGCCCCCGCGAGGAAUUUUAUGGAUGCAAAGAAGGUGGAGACAUGAAAUAAACACUUGGG